rnacentral:rRNA from 1 species
UUGGGGUGCUCGAGUGGCGAACGGGUGAGUAACACGUGAGUAACCUGCCCUUGACUUUGGGAUAACUUCAGGAAACUGGGGCUAAUACCGGAUAGGAGCUACUGCUGCAUGGUGGGGGUUGGAAAGUUUCGGCGGUUGGGGAUGGACUCGCGGCUUAUCAGCUUGUUGGUGGGGUAGUGGCUUACCAAGGCUUUGACGGGUAGCCGGCCUGAGAGGGUGACCGGCCACAUUGGGACUGAGAUACGGCCCAG